rnacentral:lncRNA from 1 species
AUAAAAAAUCCACUUAUUUUGGACUUUUGCAAAACCGGGUCACCUUUUUCGUUUUUGCAGAUUUGGUCCGCUUUUUCAGCAAACUGACCAAAAUACCCUUAUUACUUUUUCUCUUUCCUCUUUCUCUCUUCUCUUCGUUUCUGUCAUUCUUUUUUUUUUUAUUCUCGCCAAAAAAAAAAAGGCGGACCGUUGCCUUCUUCUUCACCGUCGUCUCCCUCCUCACCAUCCUUCUUCACCGUCGCCCCCCUCCUCACCCUCCUCUCCACCGCCCGCGACCCCCUCCUCCUCUCCUCCGCCGCCGCGGACCCCCAGCCCGAUCCCGUCGCCGCGGCGGCA